rnacentral:rRNA from 1 species
GCGAGAAAACUUUGCAAUGUGCGAAAGCACGACAAGGUUAGUCCGGGUGAUUUCUGCUAAAGAGAUCUUUUGCAAGUUGUAAAACCACUAGUGAAUAAGGGGUGGGCAAGUUCUGGUGU